CAUGUCAAUGCUUCUUCGAUGGCAGCGGCUUCAUGCGAGGCGUUCACAGUGUUCAUUAUCAAUGGCGGGAUCACGAGAAGGAAUGGAGGGGUUUUAUUUAACCUACAAAAUCCUGCCAUAUUUUCCCAUCUAGCUAGCAGAGGUAGGAGCUACGGGGAAGCAGGAGCACCGAGAGCAGAGGCAACAAACCAAGCGUUUAUUCAGAACCUCAAGAUUCUGAAGCAUCCGUGAUUCAGAACCUCCAACUGAUGUCAUUUCGUGUACUGGUUUUCUAGCUCCAUAUCGAGGAGUUUAGAGAUCUUCAACAGUUUUCGAUGCCAUAGCCGGCCCAAGGGUCGAAUCAGGCUGUUGGAAGAAGUUCACACAAGAUGAUUGAAGCUGCAAUGCAAUCAACUACAAAGGGAAAGAUCCAAACAAUUAGGCAAGCUUACUUUCCAAGCAUUCUUCAAAUUUUAGGGGUGACUGGAAGAGAAGAUUCUUUGUUCUCGAUGGCUAUGGAAUAUUGUAUUAUUACCGCAAACAAGACUGGGGCAAGCAAAUGAUAUAUUGGAAAGUAUCAACGAGUAUAUCGAUGAUGCUGAAAUGAUGGAUAAAAUGACUACCAAGAGCCGAUGUGAAUUGAAACACUGACCUGUUCACACUGAGGAUUAGAAUCAGACCAUGUAGGUGCCAACUCACAAACAUAAAUGUAUCGUUCAAAAUUUCGGUACAUUCUCUUUGUGUUGCUAGAGAUAGAUAGAUAUUGUAAGGUUUUAUUUAAGAAACACACUUGUUUUAUUUUCAAGGCAACAAAAAGUUGUUCAAUACAAAAACACAAAAUGACUGGCAAUGGUCACAUUCUCAACCAUUAUUUAGACUUAAAACUCACUGCUAAACCAAAGGGUGUUUUGAGACCUAAGAUUCUGAAGGAUAAAAUUAAAACCAAAGGGUGUUUUGAGACCCAAGAUUUUGAAGGAUAAAAUUAUUUUUAAAGGGUGGUAGCUCAAUGGAAGAGUACCUGCUUUACAAGCAGGAGGAUGGUGGUUCAAUUCCAUCAUGCCCUAUCAUAUGUGUAAAUGUGCACCAAUAAUGUUUUUAAUUAAAGUAAACAGGGAUUUGAAAAGGCCAGACCCUUGUAUAGAAAUGAGGUUGAAACCGAGAGCUGUUUAUCCAGAAACAGCAUGGACAACAAUGUGACAGUCCUUUAUUUUAAAGGUUGGUGUGCUCUGGUUGGCUUGUAGUAUGCUUAUUUACUGUAGGGACUGUAGCCAUGGUAAGUUGCCUUGUUUUUCACUUUUCAGAAUUGAGAAUGGUUGAUCUUAUUUCGUAGUAUUUCUUUCUUCAGAAAUUUGCUGUUAAAAAUUAAUGAGAAUUUAGCAAUCUAGCAGCUAGUUGGCUUGGAUUUAUCAUUUUAUGUCAUCUAAUGAUUGGAAUGUCCUUAAAAUCCAAGCAAACAAUACUGAUUUUGACCUCUGCCUGUCAGUCAACAAUUACCUUGAUCACAAGUCUAGUAUAUUUCGCUUCCAUAUUACCAUGCCUGUGUUUAUGCCUUAAGAUUACUAAUUCUUUGAGGUUGAACUCUCAACAGGCCUUACAUUUGCAUACACUGAAAGUGCCAGUUUUCCAUUGCUUCAUAUUCUCACGGGACACUUUACUAUCAAUGGCUUUAAUUUUUCCAGCUAAGAAGAUGUGAUCUGUUUCAAAAUCCCUGGCAUGCUGUUUUCAUCAAAGACUAUAAGCAUUUUGACAAUUAUUGAAGCAAUUUUAAUUUGAUUUUUGUGUUGACAGGGCAUAGGCCUUAAGAAUAUAAGCAAGGGAGAAUAAAUCUAUGAUUCUUUGAUAGCGAUAGACUGUGCUAGUCCUGAGACCAUAGAUAGCAUAUACCAAUCCCUUAUAAGAGAAAGUAGCUAGAUGUGAGAGGGAAUAUGUAUGCAUAUCUUGAGAUUGGUCAAUUGAGCAAGAAGAAUAUUAUUUUGAAGAGGUUGAAUUUCUAUGAUAUGCACAAUCCCAACAUCCAUUCUUUGGUACACUAUUAAACUCUAGAGGUUAACAACAGAGAGAAACCAGUUAUAA